rnacentral:rRNA from 1 species
AUUGAACGCUGGCGGCAGGCCUAACACAUGCAAGUCGAACGAGUGGCGGACGGGUGAGUAAUGUCUGGGAAACUGCCUGAUGGAGGGGGCUAACUACUGGAAACGGUAGCUAAUACCGCAUAACACCAGAUGUGCCCAGAUGGGAUUAGCUUGUUGGUGGGGUAACGGCUCACCAAGGCGACGCUCCCUAGCUGGUCUGAGAGGAUGCUCAGCCACACUGGGACUGAGACACGGUCCAGACUACUACGGGAGGUAGCAGUGGGGAAUAUUGCACAAUGGGCGCAAGCCUGAUGCAGCCAUGCCGCGUGUAUGAAGAAGGCCUUCGGGUUGUAAAGUACUUUCAGCGGGGAAGCGUUACCCGCAGAAGAAGCACCGGCUAACUCCGUGCCAGCAGCCGCGGUAAUUC